ensembl:lncRNA
UGGCCCUCGACGCGCACACGCACGCAUCUACAACGCAACCAGAGGCAUGCUGGACCGCUGCUCGGCUCACAACCUGAUUGGCCGAGGGGAUUCCCAGCCCGCGCCGUUGAACAUCCAAUACAAACCACUCAUCCUGCGCCCGCUCUCGUCCUGUUUGCUCGCGGAGUUUGAGGUCACAUGUGUCUGUAUCGUGAACUCGGACCCGCGGGCUGCGGUGAGGUGGAGUGUGAACGGGAGUGUGCCCUCUGGUGGGUACAACGUGUCGGUGGAGGGGUACUCGAGUGAAGUGAGAUCAUGGCUGCGCUGGCGGAUGGACGGAUGGCAAAGGGUCACAUGUCUGGCGGAGAACCAGCUGGGAGAUGACUCGCUGACCCUCAUGCAGCCCGGAGAAGUGAACUCCCCCUGGUGGCUUGUGGCGGUAGCAGCGGUCUGUGUCCCUGCGUGCACCUCAUCCCUGCUGCUGGUGUACUGCUGCCGACGACGCAAGAGAGUACGGCGUGUGUUGAACAGACACCGCGGUGCAUAUCUCAGGGACAGGGCAGUCAAGACUCCGCUCUAUAUCAACUGCACGGAGGUGACACAUGUCUAUUCCAACGGCAGCUAUCAACUGGUUUACCAGAACGCCACGCCCCUCUUUGUACGCACCAAUCAGACUCGGCCGAUAGGAAGAAGAGGAGGAGAGAGGCGCAUGCGAGCAAGAAGAGGGAGAGGAAGAAGAGAUAGAGCGACACGAAGGGAGACGAGCAGCCGGGAGGAAACGGAGACGGCCAUCUACGUUGAGAUCCUCUGACACUUCACGCAUCCAUAUGUUUAUAAUUUGAUUAAAUGACAACAUGUAACAUAAUGAGAAAUUAAAACAAUUCUGUUUUUUUAUUUUUUUAUUCAAAGACGACGCCACCUCUUGAUAUGAG